CGAAGUCCGUAUAGAGAAAGAGGCCCUAACCCUAGCUCCGGCGGCCGCCGUAUGCGGUGUGUGGUGGGAUCAGAAAAGCAAGAAAAGAUGGGCGCAGGCAGGAGGACCAUGUCUCCGCCAGUCCGCCGUCUAUAUAACGCGGCACAAACCCCCCGGCCGUAGCCACACUGCAGCCAAGCAGAAAGCAGAUCUCUAGCUAGCGCACACACACACACACACACGCACAGAUCUGAAGUUCUGAACCACGCACCGGCCCUGUCUUCUCCAAGUCCGGCCGGCGGAUCGAUCGAUCGAUCGAUCUCCAAGCCGGCUGAUCGGCAUGAUCUCUACAUGAAUGAACGAACUCUCCUUCAUGGUUGUUUGUUUGUUGGUCUUUAGUGCGUGGUUUUGUGGUGGUGGUGGCGUCGGUUUUGUUCCAUGGCUAACUGACAGAAGAGAGUGAGCACACAGCGGGCAGACUGCAUCGAUCUGAACCGAGACGACGCAAGUAGGAAUGAUGAUGAUGAUGCAGCUGCUGCUGCGUGCUCACUUCUCUCUCUGUCAGACCUCUACGGCCGGGGACGACUCUCCCUGCCACCACUACUACCUGCCAUGGCCUACUCUCUCUCUGUAUCUCUCUUGCGCGUUCUUGCAAGUUGCAGGCCACUGAAUGAAUGGAUCAGCUGGUGUGGCUUUAUGUGCGACGGGAUAGCAGGGGUUCGCAGGGACAGGGAGAGUGUGCAAGAUAAGGCCGGCCACCGAUCUAUUUGGGCGGGGGUCUCGUCCUUAUCUUGUACUACUACGACGACCGCCGCCCGCCCUACUACGUCUCUCCCCCCGAGGACGGGGCGUCUCUGCGUCUCAGCGGUGGUGCAGUUGGUCCCGUACUUUGGAGCAAGGUACGUGUCGGCUAGUAGCUAGCUGUGCGUGCUCCCUCCCGUCCUGAUGCGCGCGCGCAUGCCAUGCCCUUCCCUACUGCCUUUUGCUUGUGCGCUCGCUUGCUUUCCUCUCGGCCUCACGUUGCAGGCCGUGGUGUGGUCUCGAUCUCGGCUUCCCCUUCCCCAGGUCGAGGGAGAGAGCCAGAGAUCGAGGGGGGACAUGCCUCGGGCCAAGGAGAUGCCCGGCCGCCCGCGCGCGUGCUAGAUAGAUUGAUUGAUUAACUGAUCUCGAUCACCGAUCUCGCUGCCGGCGCGGCUUUCCAAAGCACGCCUGUAGUAGCCGAACCUUGCUUCGAGAUCUGUUGAUAACUCGAAGAAAAACCCAGGAUCUGAGGUAGGUUUUUUGGGGCAGCCAUGGUGGUGCUGGCUCCUCCAGGAGGUAGAUCUGCCUGCCCUGAAGAGGAAAGGAGCGUCAGUGCGCCUGCCUUCCAGAUCUGGAAGCUGCAGUUCCUGCUUACGUAAGCGUACUUGCAGAUCUCAACAAGAGUCCUAAAUCUGGAUCACCCAUGCAGUUUUUGCUGCACAAAAAAACAUUAGAUUGAUUGUGGCAUGAAAUAUCCUUUCAUAAUUAGCUUCUUGAAAAAGUCUGAGGUUUGUCGUUCUCAAUGCUUUUGAACAAAAUAUGGAAUGGACGCUCAUUACAAUUU